rnacentral:rRNA from 2 species
CAGACCUCUGAUCAGGGAAGACUACCCGCUGAGUUUAAGCAUAUCACUAAGCGGAGGAA